CACGCCGGGCUCGCGCCAGCCGUCGCCCGCCGAGGAGGAGGCGGGCGCGCACGCGGGCGGCGCGGCGCGCAACGGCGACGCGGCCGCCUUCCCGCUGCUGCCGCCGCACGCGCUGCCGCAGCCGCAGCCGCUGCACCAUCUGCCGCAUCUCUCGCACCCGCAGCAUCAUCCUGGCAUGCUCGGCGUCGCUCCCUUACAAGGGCUACCGCAUCCGCAGCACCCACAAAUACAUCCUGGUAUGACAUUGAACGACUCUAUGAAUCAACACCUCGAACUCGUUUUACAAAUGGAACAACACCCUCAGUUUGACAGCAACAGUUUUGCAAGUACUCAACAGUACGGCGGCGGCGUCGGCGGCGUGGGCGGCGUGGGCGGUGUGGGC
rnacentral:lncRNA from 1 species